CAACGGGUUUUAAGAUUUUUUCUGCUCAGACGACGCUGGCGGGUGCUAAUACAUGCAAGUCGAGCGGACAGAUGGAGCUUGCUCCUGAUGUAGCGGACGGGUGAGUACACGUGGGUAACUGCUGUAAGACUGGAUACUCGGGAAACCGGGCUAAUACCGGAUGGUUGUUUGAACCGCAUGGUCAAACAUAAAAGGUGGCUUCGCUACCACUUACAGAUGACCCGCGGCGCAUUAGCUAGUUGGUGAGGUAACGCUCACCAAGGCGACGAUGCGUAGCCGACUGAGAGGGUGAUCGGCCACACUGGGACUGAGACACGGCCCAGACUCUACGGGAGGCAGCAGUAGGGAAUCUUCCGCAAUGGACGAAAGUCUGACGGAGCAACGCCGCGUGAGUGAUGAAGGUUUUCGGAUCGUAAAGCUCUGUUGUUAGGGAAGAACAAGUACCGUUCGAAUAGGGCGGUACCUUGACGGUACCUAACCAGAAAGCCACGGCUAACUACGUGCCAGCAGCCGCGGUAAUACGUAGGUGGCAACGUGUCGGAUAUUGGGCGUAAGGGCUCGCAGGCGGUUUCUUAAGUCUGAUGUGAAAGCCCCCGGCUCAACCGGGGAGGGUCAUUGGAAACUGGGGAACUUGAGUGCAGAAGAGGAGAGUGGAAUUCCACGUGUAGCGGUGAAAUGCGUAGAGAUGUGGAGGAACACCAGUGGCGAAGGCGACUCUCUGGUCUGUAACUGACGCUGAGGAGCGAAAGCGUGGGGAGCGAACAGGAUUAGAUACCCUGGUAGUCCACGCCGUAAACGAUGAGUGCUAAGUGUUAGGGGGUUUCCGCCCCUUAGUGCUGCAGCUAACGCAUAAGCACUCCGCCUGGAUAUCGGUCGCAAGACUGAAACUCAAAGGAAUUGACGGGGGCCCGCACAAGCGGUGGAGCAUGUGGUUUAAUUCGAAGCAACGCGAAGAACCUUACCAGGUCUUGACAUCCUCUGACAAUCCUAGAGAUAGGACGUCCCCUUCGGGGRGCAGAGUGACAGGUGGUGCAUGGUUGUCGUCAGCUCGUGUCGUGAGAUGUUGGGUUAAGUCCCGCAACGAGCGCAACCCUUGAUCUUAGUUGCCAGCAUUCAGUUGGGCACUCUAAUGUGACUGCCGGUGACAAACCGGGAGGAAGUGGGGGAUGACGUCAAAUCAUCAUGCCCUUAUGACCUGGGCUA
rnacentral:rRNA from 1 species